rnacentral:rRNA from 1 species
UGGCUCAGAUUGAACGCUGGCGGCAGGCCUAACACAUGCAAGUCGAACGGUAACAGGAAGCAGCUUGCUGCUUUGCUGACGAGUGGCGGACGGGUGAGUAAUGUCUGGGAAACUGCCUGAUGGAGGGGGAUAACUACUGGAAACGGUAGCUAAUACCGCAUAACGUCGCAAGACCAAAGAGGGGGACCUUCGGGCCUCUUGCCAUCGGAUGUGCCCAGAUGGGAUUAGCUAGUAGGUGGGGUAAAGGCUCACCUAGGCGACGAUCCCUAGCUGGUUAAGGAGGAGAUCCAGCCACACUGGAACUGAGACACGGUCCAGACUCCUACGGGAGGCAGCAGUGGGGAAUAUUGCACAAUGGGCGCAAGCCUGAUGCAGCCAUGCCGCGUGUAUGAAGAAGGCCUUCGGGUUGUAAAGUACUUUCAGCGGGGAGGAAGGGAGUAAAGUUAAUACCUUGCUCAUGAC